rnacentral:SRP_RNA from 1 species
GCCGGGAGUGGUGGCGUACUCCUUUAAUCCAGCUACUUGGAGGCUAGGUGUUGAGGAUGAUUUGAGGUCGGGAGUUCUAGUGCACUGUGGCUCACGUUGACUGGGCGUCCGCACUAAGCUCGGCAUCAAUAUGGGCGCCCUGGGGGAGCCCGGGGUGGCCAGGUUGGCUAAGGAGGGGCGCACCGGGCCAGGGGGGAAACCCAGCAGCCAGAAGUCCCCGUGUGGAGCAGUAGUGGGAUAGCGCCUGGGAGUGGGAGCUGUGUAGUAGCCCGACCAACAGAAAUCAGACCAACAUCUUU